UACGUAGGGUGCAAGCGUUAAUCGGAAUUACUGGGCGUAAAGCGUGCGCAGGCGGUUUUGUAAGUCUGUCGUGAAAGCCCCAGGCUCAACCUGGGAAUUGCGAUGGAGACUGCAAGGCUUGAAUCUGGCAGAGGGGGGUAGAAUUCCACGUGUAGCAGUGAAAUGCGUAGAGAUGUGGAGGAACACCGAUGGCGAAGGCAGCCCCCUGGGUCAAGAUUGACGCUCAUGCACGAAAGCGUGGGGAGCAAACAGG
rnacentral:rRNA from 1 species